ensembl:lncRNA
CAGACAGAGAGAGAGAGGUGACUGACUGACUGCAGCAGAGAGAGUGAGAGAGGUGACUGACUGACUGCAGCAGAAGAGAGAGAGAGAGGUGACUGACUGACUGCAACAGAAGAGAGAGAGAGAGGUGACUGACAGACUGCAGCAGAAGAGAAAGAGAGUUGACUGGCUGGCUGCAGCAGAGAGAGAGAAAGGCUAAUCAAGACCAGAGGUGGGUCAAGGAGCCAGAUAUUUAUCUGAACCAGUGAAUAGCUCCUCCAGCUGGGAUGGUACUCAGGACGUGGUGAAGACGAGCAUCCUGCUGUGGUCACUGAGGGGAACGAACAGAGAUGGAAGCCCCACAUUCCUACCAGAGCGAGAAGGGUUCUCUUGUACCCUCUUAACCCCAGACCCUGGUCUGGACAGGGACACCUCUCUAACCCCUCACUCACCCAUCUGGGAACCAGAUCAACUGCAGUUACCAAAGCAGGUCAGACAAGGUUAAGCAGCUCCAUCAGGAUAAUCUGGGAUGAUGGUGUCUGCUGACCUGUGUGACUUCAUAAUGGGGGAAUACUGGCUCCAUUCCUUGAUGUGCUGGGAACUAUGCAAGAACCUUCUGUCUGCCCCUGAAUGAGAGGAGGGAAUGGGGGACCCCGUCAGACCUCUAUCAAAGGGAUACUAUCGCCUCCUACUGUCGCUGUCAUUGCAUUACACCUCAGCACUAUCUCUCCAAGCUGCUCACAGCCUACAGAGUAGAAAACAGAGUGCCUGGAGCUGGGCUACACAAGUACAUGGAAAGACCUCAGGACACAAUCUACACACCGCAAAGGCCACCCUGUAUCUGAGGACCUGAGCCUCAGGACUACCUGGCCGGAUGACUCCUGGCUGUCCCUGUCCCCAGUCCACCUGGUUGUGCUGCUGAUCCAGUGUCUGCUGUUCUGCCUACGGCUAUGUUACCCUGUCCUGUUCACCGGACGUGCUACCUUGUCCCGGACCUGCUGUUUCUACUCUCUCUCUCUCUCUCCCUCUCUCUACUGCACCCUCUGUCUCGUCCUCUGAAUGCUCAGCUAUGAAAAGCCAACUGAGAUUUACUUUUGAGGUGCUGACCUGUUGUACCCUUUCUAACCACUGUGAUUAUUAUUUCAUCUAUGAAGAUUUGAACAUCAAAUAUGCGUGUGUGAGUGAUUGGGGGGCAAGCUGUAAUGGGAUUACACACAUUAAACAGCUGUUUGUAAAAUUACCUCACUCUGUGUCAUUCAGGACCUUUCUGUUCUGUAAUCAGGAGGCUGGGUGAGGACGGGCUUCCCACGACAAAUCACAUGCUUGUAUGUCAAGUCCACAGACAUGUUCUUACACACCCACUACUCUUAAUAUGCUCUCAUAACAUGUGUGUGCCUUUCUCUAUAUCAAAUCCAAUUUUAUUAGUCACAUGCGCCAAAUACAAACUUACAGUAAAAUGCUUACUUAUGAUGUCACUCCCUGACCUUAGAGAGCCUGUUUAUUUCUCUAUUUGGUUAGGUCAGAGUGUGAUUUGGGUGGGCAUUCUAGUUUUCUAUUUCUUUGUUGGCCGGGUAUGGUUCCCAUAUGAGGCAGCUGUCUAUUGUUGUCUCUGAUUGGGAAUCACAAUUAGGCAGUCUGUUUUCCACCUGAGUUUGCGGGAUCUUGUUUUUGCACAGUAGCUGUAUAGCCCUGCAAAACUAUGUUUGUUUAUCUUUUGUUGUUCAUCUAAAAUAAAGAAAGAUGUACACUUUC